rnacentral:rRNA from 1 species
AGAGUUUGAUCCUGGCUCAGGACGAACGCUGGCGGCACGCCUAACACAUGCAAGUCGAACGGAGAAAAUGAUUUCGGUUAUUUUCUUAGUGGCGGACGGGUGAGUAACACGUGAGGAACCUGCCUCUGAGAGUGGGAUAGCUUCUGGAAACGGAUGGUAAUACCGCAUAACAUAGCGAAACCGCAUGAUUUUGCUAUCAAAGUAUUUCGCUCAGAGAUGGCCUCGCGUCUGAUUAGAUAGUUGGUGAGGUAACGGCUCACCAAGUCGACGAUCAGUAGCCGGACUGAGAGGUUGAACGGCCACAUUGGGACUGAGACACGGCCCAGACUCCUACGGGAGGCAGCAGUGGGGGAUAUUGCACAAUGGGGGAAACCCUGAUGCAGCGAUGCCGCGUGGAGGAAGAAGGUUUUCGGAUUGUAAACUCCUGUCGUAAGGGAAGAGGAAGGACUGUACCUUACAAGAAAGCUCCGGCUAACUACGUGCCAGCAGCCGCGGUAAUACGUAGGGAGCGAGCGUUGUCCGGAAUUACUGGGUGUAAAGGGAGCGUAGGCGGGAUGGCAAGUCAGAUGUGAAACCUGAGGGCUCAACCUUCAGACUGCAUUUGAAACUGCUGUUCUUGAGUGAAGUAGAGGUAAGCGGAAUUCCUGGUGUAGCGGUGAAAUGCGUAGAGAUCAGGAGGAACAUCGGUGGCGAAGGCGGCUUACUGGGCUUUUACUGACGCUGAGGCUCGAAAGCGUGGGGAGCAAACAGGAUUAGAUACCCUGGUAGUCCACGCUGUAAACGAUGAUUACUAGGUGUGGGGGGAUUGACCCCUUCCGUGCCGCAGUUAACACAAUAAGUAAUCCACCUGGGGAGUACGACCGCAAGGUUGAAACUCAAAGGAAUUGACGGGGGCCCGCACAAGCAGUGGAGUAUGUGGUUUAAUUCGAAGCAACGCGAAGAACCUUACCAGGUCUUGACAUCG